rnacentral:rRNA from 1 species
GACGAACGCUGGCGGCGUGCCUAAUACAUGCAAGUCGAGCGGAUGACGGAGGAGCUUGCUCCUCCUGAUUCAGCGGCGGACGGGUGAGUAACACGUGGGCAACCUGCCCUGUAGAUUGGGAUAACUCCGGGAAACCGGGGCUAAUACCGAAUAAUCCUUCGGACCUCAUGGUCCGAUGUUGAAAGACGGUUUCGGCUGUCACUACAGGAUGGGCCCGCGGCGCAUUAGCUAGUUGGUGAGGUAACGGCUCACCAAGGCCACGAUGCGUAGCCGACCUGAGAGGGUGAUCGGCCACACUGGGACUGAGACACGGCCCAGACUCCUACGGGAGGCAGCAGUAGGGAAUCUUCCACAAUGGACGAAAGUCUGAUGGAGCAACGCCGCGUGAGUGAAGAAGGUUCUCGGAUCGUAAAACUCUGUUGUGAGGGAAGAACAAGUACCGGAGUAACUGCCGGUGCCUUGACGGUACCUCAUUAGAAAGCCACGGCUAACUACGUGCCAGCCGCCGCAGUAACAC